AGAGUUUGAUCCUGGCUCAGAACGAACGCUGGCGGCAGGCCUAACACAUGCAAGUCGAGCGCACCCUUCGGGGCGAGCGGCGGACGGGUUAGUAACGCGUGGGAACGUACCCUUCUCUAUGGAAUAGCCAUUGGAAACGAUGAGUAAUACCAUAUACGCCCUUCGGGGGAAAGAUUUAUCGGAGAAGGAUCGGCCCGCGUUAGAUUAGAUAGUUGGUGGGGUAAUGGCCUACCAAGUCUACGAUCUAUAGCUGGUUUUAGAGGAUGAUCAGCAACACUGGGACUGAGACACGGCCCAGACUCCUACGGGAGGCAGCAGUGGGGAAUCUUAGACAAUGGGCGCAAGCCUGAUCUAGCCAUGCCGCGUGUGUGAUGAAGGUCUUAGGAUCGUAAAGCACUUUCGCCAGGGAUGAUAAUGACAGUACCUGGUAAAGAAACCCCGGCUAACUCCGUGCCAGCAGCCGCGGUAAUAAGGGCGA
rnacentral:rRNA from 1 species